rnacentral:tRNA from 1 species
CGGGAAGUAGCACAGCUUGAUAGUGCGCUCGUUUCGGGUGCGAGAGGUCGCGAGUUUGAAUCUCGUCUUCCCGACCA